GAUGAAGAACGUAGCGAAAUGCGAUACGUAAUGUGAAUUGCAGAAUUCAGUGAAUCAUCGAAUCUUUGAACGCAUAUUGCGCUCUCUGGUAUUCCGGAGAGCAUGCUUGUUUGAGUAUCAGUAAACACCUCAACUUCCAUAUCUUUUUUUGAAAUGGGAGUUGGACUUGAGUGAUCCCAACGCUUUUCCUCACCGAAAAGUGGCGGGUUACUUGAAAUGCAGGUGCAGCUGGACUUUUCUCUGAGCUAUAAGCAUAUCUAAUUAGUCUGCCUAAAAAACAGAUUAUUACCUUUGCUGCAGCUAACAUAAAGGAGAUUAGUUCUUGUGCUGACUGAUGCAGGAUUCACAAAGACAGCUUCGGCCGACUUUGUAAACUCGAUCUCAAAUCAAGUAAGACUACCCGCUGAACUUAAGCAUAUCAAUAAGCGGAGGA
rnacentral:misc_RNA from 1 species